rnacentral:SRP_RNA from 1 species
CCGUGCUAAGUGGGGAGGUAGCGGUGCCCUGUACUCGCAAUCCGCUAUAGCGAGGCCGAAUCCCCAUCCAAGGUGAGGCGACUUUAAGGUCUGCCUUAAGGGAUUGGUGUUGACGUCUCAGGUCCUGCGCAACAGAGACCCAUGAACCCUGUCAGGUCCGGAAGGAAGCAGCAGUAAGUGGAUUCCUCUGUGUGCCGUGGGGAAGCCUGGACUGAGCCAUGAACUUAAGUAACGCUUAGGGACGUUUCAUCGACGAUGGGUGCACGG